rnacentral:rRNA from 1 species
AGAGUUUGAUCAUGGCUCAGGACGAACGCUGGCGGCGUGCUUAACACAUGCAAGUCGAACGAACGCUCGAGGGCUUGCUCUCGAGCGUGAGUGGCGGACGGGUGCGUAACACGUGAGGAACAUACCCAUCGGCGGGGGAUAGCCGGCCCAACGGCCGGGUAAUACCGCGUACGACCUUUUGAGCGCAUGCUCGGGGGGUGAAAGCAGCAAUGCACCGAUGGAGUGCCUCGCGGCCUAUCAGCUUGUUGGUGAGGUAAUGGCUCACCAAGGCGACGACGGGUAGCUGGUCUGAGAGGAUGACCAGCCACAUUGGGACUGAGACACGGCCCAGACUCCUACGGGAGGCAGCAGUGGGGAAUAUUGCGCAAUGGCCGAAAGGCUGACGCAGCGACGCCGCGUGUGGGAUGAAGGUCCUCGGAUUGUAAACCACUGUCAGGAGGGACGAAGGCCCCGCAAGGGGAUUGACGGUACCUCCAAAGGAAGCACCGGCUAACUCCGUGCCAGCAGCCGCGGUAAUACGGAGGGUGCGAGCGUUGUCCGGAAUCACUGGGCGUAAAGGGCGCGUAGGCGGCCCGGUAAGUAGGGGGUGAAAUUCCACGGCUCAACCGUGGACCGGCCUCCUAGACUGUCGGGCUUGAGCACGGUAGAGGCAGAUGGAAUUCCCGGUGUAGCGGUGGAAUGCGUAGAUAUCGGGAAGAACACCAGUGGCGAAGGC